rnacentral:rRNA from 1 species
UACCUGCGCCCCAAGUGGUAUCCAGUAUUAUUGGGCCUAAAGCGUCCGUAGCCGGCCUGUUAAGUUCUCGGUGAAAUUCACUAGUAGACUAGUGAGCUUGUCGGGGAUACUGCCAGGCUUGGGACUGGGAGAGGGUAGAGGUACUCCUGGGGGAGGGGUAAAAUCCUAUAAUCCUAGGGGGACCACCUGUGGCGAAGGCGUCUACCUAGAACAGUUCCGACGGUGAGGAACGAAAGCUAGGGGAGCGAUCGGG